UGGUACAGAUGACGACCGGCGCAUGGGUGCGUACGCGUAUGAAACCUGCGUUGUACUGGGGGAUAGCCCGAAAAAUUCGGAUUAAUACCCCAUAAUAAUAGUUGAUGGCAUCAUUAAUUAUUUAAAACUCCGGUGGUAAAAGAUGGUCAUGCGUGACAUUAGCUAGUUGGUAAGGUAACGGCUUACCAGGCAACGUGUCUAGGGGUUCUGAGAGGAAGGUCCCCCACACUGGUACUGAGACACGGACCAGACUCCUACGGGAGGCAGCAGUGAGGAAUAUUGGUCAAUGGACGCAAGUCUGAACCAGCCAUGUCGCGUGCAGGAAGACUGCCCUAUGGGUUGUAAACUGCUUUUAUACGGGAAGAAUUGUAGCUACGAGUAGUUAUUUGCCGGUACCGUAUGAAUAAGCAUCGGCUAACUCCGUGCCAGCAGCCGCGGUAAUACGGAGGAUGCAAGCGUUAUCCGGAUUCAUUGGGUUUAAAGGGUGCGUAGGCGGAAGUAUAAGUCAGGGGUGAAAGUUUGUGGCUCAACCAUAAAAUUGCCUUUGAUACUGUAUUUCUUGAGUACAUUUGAGGUAGGCGGAAUGUGUUGUGUAGCGGUGAAAUGCUUAGAUAUAACACAGAACACCGAUUGCGAAGGCAGCUUACUAAACUGUAACUGACGCUGAUGCACGAAAGCGUGGGGAUCGAACAGGAUUAGAUACCCUGGUAGUCCACGCCGUAAACGAUGAUAACUAGUUGUUUGCAAUAGACCGUAAGCGACAAAGCGAAAGCAUUAAGUUAUCCACCUGGGGAGUACGUUGGCAACAAUGAAACUCAAAGGAAUUGACGGGGGCCCGCACAAGCGGA
rnacentral:rRNA from 1 species